AUAGGAGGUCCAGCCUGCCCAGUGACUACGGGUUCAACGGCCGCGGUAUUUUGACCGUGCAAAGGUAGCGCAAUCACUUGUCUCUUAAAUAGAGACCUGUAUGAAUGGCUAGACGAGGGCUUAACUGUCUCCCCCCUCCAGUCAGUGAAAUUGAUCUAUCCGUGCAGAAGCGGGUAUAAUUAUACAAGACGAGAAGACCCUUUGGAGCUUAAGGUACAAAAUUCAACCACGUUAAACGACUCUGUAGAAAGCAAGAACUUAGUGGCGGAUGAAAUUUUACCUUCGGUUGGGGCGACCACGGAGGAGAAAGAAGCCUCCGAGUGGACUGGGCUAAACCCCAAAGCUAAGAGAGACAUCUCUAAGCCGCAGAACAUCUGACCAAGAAUGAUCCGACUGAAAGGCCGAUCAACGAACCAAGUUACCCUAGGGAUAACAGCGCAAUCCUCUCCCAGAGUCCAUAUCGACGAGGGGGUUUACGACCUCGAUGUUGGAUCAGGACAUCCUAAUGGUGCAGCCGCUAUUAAGGGUUCGUUUGUUCAACGAUUAAAGUCC
rnacentral:rRNA from 1 species